rnacentral:rRNA from 1 species
CCCUUAGAUGUCCUGGGCCGCACGCGCGUUACACUGAUGCAUUCAACGAGCUUAUAACCUUGGCCGAGAGGCCUGGGCAAUCUUGUUAACGUGCAUCGUGAUAGGGAUAGAUUAUUGAAAUUAUUAAUCUUGAACGAGGAAUUCCUAGUAAACGCAGAUCAUCAAUCUGCAUUGAUUGCGUCCCUGCCCUUUGUACACACCGCCCGUCGCACCUACCGAUUGGAUGGUCCGGUGAAGCCUCGGGAUUGUGGUUCUUGCCGCUUUAUUGUGGCGUGACCGCGAGAACUUGUCUAAACCUUAUCAUCUAGAGGAAGGUGAANUCGUANCA